AUUGAACGCUGGCGGCAGGCCUAACACAUGCAAGUCGGACGGUAGCACAGAGAGCUUGCUCUUGGGUGACGAGUGGCGGACGGGUGAGUAAUGUCUGGGGAUCUGCCCGAUAGAGGGGGAUAACCACUGGAAACGGUGGCUAAUACCGCAUAACGUCGCAAGACCAAAGAGGGGGACCUUCGGGCCUCUCACUGUCGGAUGAACCCAGUUGGGAUUAGCUAGUAGGCGGGGUAAUGGCCCACCUAGGCGACGAUCCCUAGCUGGUCUGAGAGGGUGACCAGCCACACUGGAACUGAGACACGGUCCAGACUCCUACGGGAGGCAGCAGUGGGGAAUAUUGCACAAUGGGCGCAAGCCUGAUGCAGCCAUGCCGCGUGUAUGAAGAAGGUCUUCGGGUUGUAAAGUACUUUCAGCGGGGAGGAAGGCGGUGCGGUUAAUAACCGUACCGAUUGACGUUACCCGCAGAAGAAGCACCGGCUAACUCCGUGCCAGCAGCCGCCGUAA
rnacentral:rRNA from 1 species